CAUGAGGCACUGGAGUGAGGAAAAAUCAAGUUAGAGGGACCCAAGACCAUAUCUAUAAGGGUGAAGGCCCCUGGCAUCUUUCACCACAGAAACUGAGACCCCAUGACAGUGGCUGCAGGCUGCUCCUAAGCUAAAACAUACAUGGCCCCAUCCCUAGGUAUAGUAAGCAGGUACAACUCGCCCUGCCAAACAUAUCUGAAGAGUUGUAGAAUUAGGGGCUGGAGAUGGCUCAGCAGUUAAGAGCAGUUAAGUGUAGCCUGGCUACACUUCCAAGACCUACAUAGUGGCUCGCAUCUAACCCUAGUCCCAGGGGAUCCAGCACUCUCUUAAGGCAUCUUAGGACCCAUAUGGUACUCAGCCAUACAUGCGGGAAAAGCACCCAUACACGAGUUGCAGACUGGACUGGAGAAAUGGCACGGUCACGGAGCACCUACUGCUCUUGUAGACAGUAACUCACAACUGCCUGUAACUGUGGCGGCAGGGCUCCGACACCCUCUUCUGGUUGGUCAGACACAUAAUAUAGACUGCAGCUUUUUAAGCUGCAGGUUGAGCUAGAGAAAUGGCUUAGUUAAGAGGUUCCUAGCACCCGCGUGGCAGCUAACAACCAUCUGACUCUGGAGGAUCUAGUGCCUUCUGACCUUCAUGGGGAACAGGCACACAUGAAAGGAUAUGGAGGCAAACCUUCAUUAAAAAGAUUGUUUCCUU
ensembl:antisense Gm43604 predicted gene 43604